AUUGAACGCUGGCGGCAUGCUUUACGCAUGCAAGUCGAACGGUAACAGGUUAAGCUGACGAGUGACGAACGGGUGAGUAAUGCAUCGGAACGUGCCCGAUCGUGGGGGAUAACGCAGCGAAAGCUGCGCUAAUACCGCAUACGAACUGAGGAUGAAAGCGGGGGACCGUAAGGCCUCGCGCGAUCGGAGCGGCCGAUGUCAGAUUAGGUAGUUGGUGGGGUAAAGGCCCACCAAGCCGACGAUCUGUAGCUGGUCUGAGAGGACGACCAGCCACACUGGGACUGAGACACGGCCCAGACUCCUACGGGAGGCAGCAGUGGGGAAUUUUGGACAAUGGGCGAAAGCCUGAUCCAGCAAUGCCGCGUGCAGGAAGAAGGCCUUCGGGUUGUAAACUGCUUUUGUACGGAGCGAAAAGGUCCUUUCUAAUACAAGGGGCUCAUGACGGUACCGUAAGAAUAAGCACCGGCUAACUACGUGCCAGCAGCCGCAGUAACAC
rnacentral:rRNA from 1 species